GUCGGUCUUUUUCUGAUUUGAGAUAGUGAGCGCCACCUGGGAGGACUCUCCAUGGACAACGCUGCACCAUCGACAGCGUCCUACACUAGUACGUCUCCUGCCACCCCUCAGAUCGUAGUUCUUCUCCACCAUUAGAAGGUCCAUCCUCUCAUCACCUGUCUGUCCCCAUACAUGCUAAAAAUUUGAUGGCAAAGCCGAUGCUAUUUUUAUCCAUUUUUCUGAAGAAAACUGAACUUGGUCAGAGUAAGAACACAACUUCAGUUGACGAUUGCGGGUUGUGUUUGCAGCUUCUCCGCUAUACAUGUUUAUUGGUUCUACAAGAUAAUUGCUCUAGAUUUCUUUUUCUAAUAUAAUGUUAAAAAUCCACUAGAUGAAAAAAUCUUUGUGUUAGCUACAUCAGUACUGCUCAUUAGUACGACAAGUAGCAGUACUGAUCAGUACAACUUACACAAAAUAUUAGUACUGAUCAGUACUAUUCUUAAUGUUAAAACUAACAUCCAUAUAAUACUGAUGAGUCAUACUGACAAGGAUGUCGUCUACAAUUCUGAACUUAUUGUUGAGUCGUACUAGUACUGAUGAAAGGGGAAGCAAGUGUCACAUGAAUCCUUAAUUGAAUAGGAAGCAAGGUUGCAAUGAGACCCUGGAAAAUCACUAUUUAUUUUAUCCUCCGUUCUUAGCAUGGAAACAAUUCUCUGUGUGUUAGAGUAUCAAUUCAUGUGGCGAAGAACAUGUUUCCUAUAUGAGAAAAUAAUAUAUUAUUAUCAGUUCAGUGUGUAUUUUGUCAUUAGUUCAUACAGAACAACCGUAAAAAAUAUUUUGAUGUGUGUUAGAGAGAGCUCGACUUUAUAUUAUAUGGUACCUCACUCAUUGCACGAUUGCACAGCAGUUUCGCAAGAAAAUUCACAUCAGUUCAGGGGCGCCCGCAUCACGGUCUCAGCGUGCCACCGCAAUCUCUCCUUGAUACGCCACCGGAAGAGCCCCUCCUCACACUUUGGCAAGCUGUCACUUCUUGCUCCAGUGCCUGGAUCCUGUGUGAGGACUGCUAAGAUCUUGGUCGAGCGAAGGCCAUGUAGGUUGCAAAUGGCUCUUCUGGUGGAAUUAGUUAUGUUGGGGGUGUGGCUAGGCCGACUGCUUCAGAUUUGUUUUGUGUUAGCUAGAUUCUAAGCUAGAACGGUCUGAUUUAAGCAAUUGGAACUUGAAUAACCAAGUUGCCAUCUGCCCUGCUGUCACAAAGAAUCUAUUUUUUUUUACCAAUAUUGUACUUUUUUGCAGUUGUCGCUGUAGUUGUACAAUAUUUCUGUCUCAUAGUGCUCUUAGUUGUGCACUUAAAUGAUCCCACAAUAUGGCAUUAUCUUUGAGAACAGGGUUCAUCAAUACUUCAGAGUUGUGAAUAGGAGGGUGUGCCUGUACCUGGUGGGAUUGCUUAUGAUUCUGAUGUGCUUACCGGUUUGGCCUAUUCGUAGUUGUGUAGUUUGCAAUUUGUUUUUUUGGUGGCAGCCGUCCACCAUGGUUGAUGGCAGCCGUCCAAGUUGAGCGCUGAUGGUAGUCCUAUGUGUGCGUCAAUGGCACUCUCUCACAGCAAUCUCUCUCUCUUUCUUUGCUCCUGCUAUUAAAAUGCAUAGAUGUGGUAUUCUGCUAACUGAGUAGUUGGGGAGAUGUGAAAAAAACAUGCUCUUUAGGUGUUUGUGACUAUUCAUGUGAGCACCAAUGUAUUUAAAUGUUUAUUUUGUGCUUCCAUGUAUGUUUUUGCGCAGCACAAGUACAUCGUCAUAGUAAGUACAAAUGUGGUCUUAUGGAACUCUGAUAGUUGUUGGAUGCUAUUCCAAAUGUCAAUGAUCAUGCAAAACGGUUGUUGCUAGAAUCUAGAUGAUAUUUGUUUCACCCUAUUUUAAUUAUUCUUGCAUAGCUCUUUAAAAGAAUGUCCUGUAAAUGUUUGUGAUCAUUGCUUGUAGGUAUUCAUGUGGACUUUAAAAUAAUGAAUGUUCUUGUAGGAGGUUCCAAGAUUAUCUUGGAGCAAGUACAAGAGAUUAGUUUCGUGAAAAUAAAUGUGAUCUUUUGGUCAGGAUUUUGCAUGAUCCAUAGCCAUCGGUGGCAACAGGAGAGCAGUUCGAGGCCUCCUGCGUGAGUCGUCCAUCGUCUUCUAUGUGUGAGCUUGUUAUCUCUACACAUCUAGCUGAAGGAAAUAUACCCUAGAGGCAAUAAUAAAGUUAUUAUUUAUUUCCUCAUAUCAUGAUAAAUGUUUAUUAUUCAUACUAGAAUUGUAUUAACCGGAAACAUGAUACAUGUGUGAAUAUAUAGACAAACAUAU
rnacentral:lncRNA from 1 species